rnacentral:rRNA from 1 species
UACGAAGGGGGCUAGCGUUGUUCGGAAUUACUGGGCGUAAAGCGUGCGCAGGCGGCUUCUCAAGUCAGGGGUGAAAGCCCAGAGCUCAACUCUGGAAUUGCCUUUUGAGACUGAGUGGCUUGAGUACGAGAGAGGUGAGUGGAAUUCCCAGUGUAGAGGUGAAAAUUCGUAGAUAUUGGGGAAGAACACCGGUGGCGAAGGCGGCUCACUGGCUCGUAACUGACGCUCAUGCACGACAGCGUGGGGAUCAAACAGG